rnacentral:tRNA from 1 species
AGGGGCGUAGCAUAACGGCAAUGCAACCGUCUCCAAAGCGGUCGAUUGGGGGUUCGAAUCCCUCCGCCCCUG